ACAAAAUUACAUUUUUCUUUUUCAAUUUUAUUAGGAUGUAUGGCUGGCUAAAACAGGCGAGACUUCGCACAGUUUCAAGCCAGCUGUGAAUUGUCCAGUCUGAGCUUUGAAUGUCUAUUCCUGAAUGAAAUGAACUGUAUUGAAACUACUGAAACUUUGAGACAUGAUUUCACUAAAAGAAAGCUGCAAGGAUGUGUUAAACCCAAAUUAAAACUUUCAAAAUAGCAUGCCCAUAACAGUCUCCAUAAUCACUUCCUCAUAUCGGACAGCCUUCAAGCAAGUGCUUGACCAUGGCUUGACCAUAAUCCAGAGUACAGCAGAGGAGAUCCUUGGUGCAGAUGAUACAACUGAGGCACUGGGAACAUUUCAGAUGUUCAGGGUCAGUUUGGAUUGAGCAACCUGGUCUGGUGAAAGGUGUCCCUGCCUGUGGCAGGGGGUUGGUAGUAGGUGAUCUGUAAGAUCCCUUCCAACCCAAACCAUUCUAUGAUUCUACGAUUGAUUUCUGCAUGCACCUAAUGACAGUCUAUUAAAAGCAAAACAGAGACAGUUUUGAGAUGGCAGUUUCAUGGAUGUUACCUGUUUACUAACAUACCUCCUUGUUACUUGUAAGUCUACAUAAACCAUGUCCUGCUCACUCCUGUUUAAAUCAGUCAGGUCUUUGUAGCUGAAACGAACAUCAGCAGCAAGUAAAGUCAGAAAUGCACCUCAAGUACCAGUACAGGCCCCUUCAAGCCUAUUUCUAACUGUGGUGACGCAUUUCCUGCUGCCCUGCCCCCCCUUCUCUGGGCUUCUCUGUGAUCUCAGGAAUUCCCAUUAGAUCUUGGCCUUUGUGUAAUGACUUGGGAGGUUAAGCAUCCCUUAACCUUACCAGCAACUCUUGCAUUGCUAGGGUGAGGAAUGGCACUGACUGUAUCAGGAACUCCUGUUGCCUUACCAAGGCUAUAAUAUAAAUUAUAUAUCAUAUAAAAAUACAUGAACGAGAGCAGCCAUAAUCAGUCAUCCCCUGACAGCCCUAGGACAUUCCCGACCUGAACUGUAGCCCAAGUGGAAUGGUACCAUAGUUACUGGAAUUUUGAAAAAUUACUGACCCAGUUUGUGGCCAGAAUGGAAACUUAAUUGACUAAUUGUCUAAAGCCAAUCAUCUUGCGACCCUAUAAGCAGCAAUGUUAAGUGAGACACUUUGAGCUUUCCUGGACCACAGCAGGCUGUGACCAGCAUCUCUCUUUCAGUGAGAUGUCUCUCAGAACUUGCAAACCCUCAAGUUUACAAAGUUCAGGGGACCAUUGCCGAAAGCUGAUGAUGAGGCCUGGGCUGAAACCGCCUACUCCUUGAGGGUCAACUCUUGCCCGUUGAGAAAUGCCAAGGCAUUUGAAGUGAGUGUUUCGCUGAACUCAAGGGGAAAUUUUAACAGGUAUGCCUAUCUGUGUGUGUGUGUGUACGUGUGUGCGUUGAUGUACCUCACAGCAAGAACAGUAUAAAUGUUACCAUCUUGGACCUGUAAUUCAAUCACUAUUAUGAUUGUACUAAAUCUUGUUAACCUCACUUUGUAAAUGUUAAAUAAGUUCAUGAUUAAGUGCUGCUAAAAUCUUGUGAUCUAUCUUAAAACUGUGACUAAACCUUAGUCAUCCUUUAGAUAUAAACUGUUGUCCAAGUCUGAGACUAAGACUGGACCUAGCUGCGCCUAAGCUUUACCAGGAGUUCAGAAAGCAAGGGGGUCUACUCUGAACCUUGUGACUCAGCAGGAGGGUCUCCAUUAGCCUUUUGCAUCUUCAGUCUCUGUAAAUCAUUCUAGCUCAAUUCUAACUUGAUUUGCUUUUGUAUGUUUCAUCCAUGUAAUAAUAGUGAACCUUGCCAUCAACCUUUGUGAAGUUGUACUCCCACGAAUUUAUAUUAAAACUAUAUUCACUAAUACCUUUGAUAGUGAUUCUUUAAAUGAUCUAAACCACUCAUCUGUGACACGUCACUCCUCAGAGACUGGGCAGCACUCUUCUUCUAGACUCCUGGACCCCAAACAGUAAUGUCAUGGACUUCUUCAGAACUGCUAAACUUUAAAAAUCUUUUUUACCAGGGUAAAGUGUGUUAAUUAAUCACAUUUUACAUAACCUAAAUCUUUCAACAAGUAGGAAGAGUAAGGCUUUUUCUUCAUGUAUAAUUAAUGAAAGUAAUUUUCUUUCCCUGAAUAGUAAAUUUGAUCCUUCACCCUUACCUAGGCUGUGAGAAAAAUUACUUUUAGUAUGUGUGGGGUUUGUUUUGUAUUGUUUUGUUUUGCUUUACUUUGUUCUGUUUUCCAGGAGGCUAAAGUUUCAUUACUAGCUUAAGGCUGAGAAUUUAAAGGGAGCUAGAUGGCGAAGCAUGUUAAAACUCGGUGGGAACGGUUCACUGAGCUCUUUGUGGUCCUUUACAAUUCUGGGUGCAACUUGUCAUGAACACAAAAUUCUGUCCACAGGCUGCAACCAGCUGCUCCGGGCUGUGUAGCUGGUGUUCCCCGGCAUGUCCGUCCGUAUCCACUGGGGGGCAGCAUUGACGGGGUCUGGUGGCCUGUCUGGGCUGAAUCGGCGCUGGAAGCGCAGGCAGGCGGUUGGGCUUUUUGCCUUGCAGAAGUAGCGUCUGGCAGAACGCUAGUGUAAACAGCUUGGGGUCAUGUUUUAAAUCACUGCAGCAAGAUUCACAUCUGUAAAGUGCUAACAAGAGCCUGUAAAAAGGCAUUUAUGAAAACCAGUCGGUAGAAAUUAUGUAAAUUGCAUCUGUAAUCUGAGUGGAGAAAUUUAUGAGUGCAUCUCUACCGUGUGGACUUUUACAGGCUUCCCAUCAUUGUUUGGUUUCAUGGCACUUAAAAAUGAAUGCUCAGCACAAUUAGUUAUGAUACCUUCAACUGUUGUUAUGACUGUGAAAUAGGUUUGUUAUGUGCUGUCUUUCACACCGCACUCCCUGCCCCCUGAGCUGCUUGUUAAAUACGGAGUUUGGCUGAUGUCGGUUGAAAGUGGUACCUAGUAUUUUUCACUUUGGGGAAUAUUGUCUGAAGAAUUUGUGAAUUUUCUUCUGACAUACUCUGUAUGAUACAAUAGAACAAGGAUGCCCGUCAUACAAACAAAACCUUCCUGUCAGUUUGGUCAGUAGGUGGCAUUUAAGUUCCUUUUUAUAGAGCUCAAAGCUUCAGAAAACUACCUUCAAAUGUAUUCCCACUGCACCCCGUGAGUAUGUUAAUAUAAUUUUUAUAACUGUACUACUGUUGAUCAGAGUUUAUUAAGUAAAUCUAACAGGGUCACAGGGAGUAUUGAUUUACAAUUUUGAAGUGCAGCUUGUAUUUCUAAAGACUAAUAAUCUCUUUGGAGGCAGGUACUAUAAUCUACACAAAUCAGUUUUGUAAUUUUAAUUUUAACUUUCUUAGAACUACAAAAUGUAAAAUGUGAAUGUGUAAAGUAAUUCUUAAUAUAUGUUUGGUUAAUAACCAAUUUAUAUACAGUCUGAUAAAACUGGUAUUUAAAAUGGAAUUGUAUCUUUGCUUGAAUAGCUUGUAAUAGUAUGCUAACAUUUGCUUUUAAGCUCCAAAAAUUAGUAAGUUUAUGAAUGAGAUGUCACAGGAUCCUUCCAGGUAGUUUAGUUUGGAAAUUGCAUUCUAAAGCAUUGAUUAAAAAUUAAUUCUACUCUGUGCCCAAAAGAAAGCAUUAACAUAGAUGCAUAGUCUCUAUUGGAUUAUAGGUUGAUUAUUGGUAUGCUAGAUGCUGUUUUAAUAAGCAUAUAAAUAAAUAAAUGACCCCCUAUAAAGUCUUCUACAGCCUUCUGCUUGGUUUAUGUCAACCUUCCUAUACCCCUGCUUAUUUUGAAUUUGAAAUACAAGUGAAUCUCUAUUCAUCUCUGCAGGUACCACCUGCAUAGAUGAGGAAACUAGGUGGUAUACUUGCUGAACAGCUGGCAUGAAGCAUAGUUAUGUUCCUUUCUGUACUCACCCCUUUCUUUUUUGUCAGAGAGGUCUUGGAGUGCUAUACUAAAAUUGUUUGUUCAGAACUACAAGUUAAACCACAUUAGUGUGUAUCAAAGGAAAACUGACAUUAAAAUGUAUAUAUAUAAAAUGUCUCUCAAAAGGAAGAGGGUCAAUAAUGGAAACAAGUUUAUAACUGAGUUUUGUUACUAUCACUCUUUUCUGUUUUUAACAAUAAUAUCUUUCUCAAACAUGAUUGAAGUUUAGGGUUGACCACUUCUCAGUUACAACACCUCUCUUUCCCUCUACUUCUAGCUGUAUCUCCAUUCACGGAGCUAUCUGAGUGCAAGGAUCACUCCUUGGUCCUAGCUAAACAAAACCACAUUUGGUUCUAUGAUGUGUAUCAUCUCUGUAUUGAGAUUAAUUUCCUAUUUGACUGCCUGAGCUGUGUGCAAGCUCCUGUGCAGGUGCUUAAAAGUCUUCUCUGGUCAGCCUACAGCUUUGUUUCAUCAGGUUUUGUGUUGCUGAUUUGCUUUGAUCUUAACCGUGUGUUUCUGGUGUCCCACAGCAGAUUAGAACAUCCCUGGUUUUUGAUAGUAGGUACUGUUCUGGGCCAUGGCUGGGGAUUUAUGUUGUCUCAAAGUGAAAUGAAUGUGACAAAAAUGUAGUGUUUUCCAUGUCAAGCUUUUAAAGUUGUGUUGCUCUGCUGAUAACAGAAUAUUGCAUCUGCUUCUAUGUUUGUGGAUGGAGAGACGUAUUCAAGCUGCCUUCUCUACUGCUGAUCAUUAAGCCACUCCUGCUGCCAGCUCUGCACCCCUGCCCCCUUAGGACCCUGUAAAUUUGUAGCUAACGAGUUUUUUUAUAAUUGCUUUGUUGGUAUUAUCUACUCAAAGUUGUCAGCACUGUCAACAGUGCUGCUCAAAUGAAAUAUAGUCAUACAUAAUUAUAUUUUCUUUCCUAACUGUCAUACCAUGCAUUUUCUUUAGCAUUUUAUCGAAAUCAGGUAUAUGGUCUUAUGUGCGUACAAAUGACUAGGAACUGAAUUUUUUUGCUCAAUCAUAACUGAUUUGUGUUUUGAGACUUCGUGCAACUGUCUUGUUCCAAAAUCGAAACUGUAAAGCAGAAAAGAACAGCAGUGAUUUUUUUUAAUAUUGCAGCUAUCCACUGUUCAAAAGAAGUCCAGUCCUUUGGGCACAGUAUACCUUGAGACAGUAUAGUCCAUCCCUAAUUUAGACUUCAUCUGCUUUUUCAAGAUGAAGGUAACAAAAAGCUAAAACGGAACUGCUUGCCGACACCCAGCCAAAGCGCUGAGAGAACUGGAGUUUGUAAUUCCGUACUCGGGGGCGGAUUUGGCGAUCCCAAACCCGCGAGUGGAAGUGCAGGCGCCAGAAUCCCUUGGGAAGCUGCACUACCCCCAGCCCACGCCGCGAAUCGCUCCCCGCUUUCCCGCGCUGCCAGCCGCGCGCUGGCCCCGGCGGGCGGGAGGUGUCGCCAGCGCCGCCCCGCCCCCCCCCCGCCCCCCGGCGGGCGCCGCCUCGCGCGCUGCGGGGCAGGGGUCGCUGCUCGCAAAGACGUGCGGGGCGGUGGCAAAAGGGCUGACGGAGCCGAACCGCAGGAUGUCACAUGCCGCUGCGGGGAGCAGAUCCCGAGCUCGCCAGGACACAGUGGUCACGCGUGCGUGUGCGUGUGUCUGUGUGUGUGUCCUUUCUCAUUUUGAAAAGAGAGCAAGUGAAGUGCGUGCGGGGCGGAACAUUGGAAAUUCUUAAAUAAACGAGCAAAAGAUGACCUGGAUUUUGUUGAAACAAGAAUCCAAGCGUUGUAACUUUUCUGUAUUUGUCUAGUGCAUGUGUGAAUGCAAAACAUACACCUGCAGAACCUAUGUAAGUGGUAGGUGUAAAAAUAGCAUACUGCAAGGUUUGCUUUUCAGCAGUGCUUGUUUAACUGUGAAAAGGAAAAUGUUGUGUAAAGUAUGCUUUUAUGUAAUUCAAAAGAUAUUCUGUUUUUAAACAUCAAUCCAGAGCAACUGUGACCCACCCUCCCCCAGACAAUUCUGUUUUUAUUGCCAUUACAUGCUUUAAAAAUUCAAUGAAAGUAGCUAUAUAUAUCCAUUUCAGUGUGACACAUCACAGACAUCAGUUCAACUGCUAUUUUUGAAAAAAGUGAAUUUAGCAUCUCCUAUAUUUUAUUCACCUAAACCUGCAACUUUUCUUCCCACUGAAUUCUUUAUCAAUGUACAAACUGUGCUUAAUUUGAGUCCUUUAAAACUGGAAUUAUGACAAGUUCUAUCAAUUUUAAUGCAGAAUUAAAAAAAAUAUAUUAGACACUGAAAAAAAUUGAGAUUUUGGUGGAAUUUCUGGCUUACUCCUCUAUAGUUCCUGCAACACAGCACAAUUCUGAACUCUCCAAGCGUGUACAUUUCUCUGUCAGUCUGUGAGGUUCUUUACUAGCUUUUAUGAGACACAGAAUGGAAGGAAGAUAGCAUCAAGUGAUAUUUCCACGUUUUUUCCCUUCUUUUAUGUGUUUUGUUGUUCAGAAGUGUAUGUUGUCUGUAAUUGGCCAAGCACAAGGAGGGGGAAAAAAGUAAUGAUUUAGAUGAAGAUUGACAGCUAAAGAAGAUGUGCAUAUACAGUUAGUUACAUUCCCUAAAUAAUGAUGUGAUAUUAUUAGCAGUAUAGGUGAAGCUGUUGUGCAACUUAAAAUAAUGUGCAGCUUCUUGUGAAGACUGAGCGUUAACCAGAAAGAAAACUUAAGCUCCAUCUAAGAACAAGUCGCUGUUCUAUUUCUUUUCAGAAAAAAUAUUACUUCACCCGUUAUUAUCUUAGUUAAAGAAUUAUUUUUUCUUAAAUAAAGAUAAAGGCUUUAUAUUUUGAUUACUGAAAGAUAAUUGAAAAUAGCAUCCUAAUUCUGUUCUUAUUAGAUUGGUUUAGUGCUGAAAGCUUUGAAAAAAGUCCAAACCAAAAGACCGUUAGGAGGCAGUGGAGGGAAAUUGCAGGAAUGAUGGGUUCAAGUUGUGACAGAUUCAUGCUGGAUCAAGCAUUGCUCAUGACCCAUUCAGAAAUGAUGAGUAUCUUACAUCUGAAUAGUAUCAGUAGCUGAUAAAUAGAAAUGAAGGUAGGUAGUUGAAUGAAUCUGUGGCCAGCUAAGAUGAAGAUGUUAAAACAUCACCAAAACUUUGGUUACAAUUUUCAAGUGCUUCUGUUAGAGAAAGAUUUGUCAUUCCUUAUCUGAGCUGCAGACUUCUGUUCAACCAUUAUUUGAACUGCAAAUGAAUUGAGUAGUUAGGAUGUAACUUAGUAGACUGCAGAAAUACUCAUGAACACUAGAUGAUUCCUUACAGUUGUGUUUAUAACCUAAAACCAGUUUGUUUAAAGAGUAACAGCGAAGUUAUGGUUAAAGAAAGAUUGAAGGGGGAAAAAAAAUGUUUCUCUCCUUAACCGAAGAGGCAGAAUAGAAGCAACACACAAACAAAGAAGGUUUGUGUGUUACGUGUGUAUCUUCUGCCUGAAGCUACUUUCUGUGUUUGCUUAAAGGUACUUUGUUUAUGUCCAGGGUUAUUUUUUUCUACUUUAUGCACAACGGUGGCUUGUGGAAGUGCUUAGAGAAGGAUGUUCUCUGUGCAGUCCCUGGAGUUUACUAGCCCUUGGUCCAAUAUCAAUUAGAUUUAAUGAGCUUUCCAGAAUAUUGCAACAGCUGCUUGUUUCAUAGAGUUCAUAGGGAAGGGUGAGGAUAUGUAUUUGAUGCAAUUGGGAGGUAAAGACUUUUUGUUGUUGUUGAGUUGACCUCUGCGUGAACUUAACUGCUCUCUUCAUUUGAAUACUUAAGGCUUCCCUUAAAGAUGCCUGCCUUUACUAGGCUUACCGAAUGUAUGUGAAGGUAUUGAUAAUGUAUUUCUAUUGGUGCUCUUGGCUCUAGUUAUGCUCUAACUGAUGGUCUGGUUACUGAGGAAGUCAUUUCAUUACAGACCUUGAUCAAGUAUUUGGUUUGCUGGCUGGCAAAUCUCAGGAGUCAAGCUUUUAUUUGUAUCACUUGUUUUCUGCAAGGGAGGAAGGAUGUGAUACUUUCCUACGGACGAAUGUAGCUGUUUACCACUGAACUACAGCUCAGUGCAGUGGGAGCAUUCUCAGUAUUAGCCUAGCUGGCAUCAUGAGGAAUGCUUUUAGUGAAGAAUCUGGCAGUGCUCAUAUAUAAGAUUCACUGAGCUUGCAGUAGUACUGGAAAGUCCAAGAAAUUGUGUAUCUUUUCUUAUAUUUAUAUAGGUGGAAAUCAUCUGGCCAGAAGAAUUUGGUUAGUAAGGGCACAAAGUGAUAUGUGACAGUGUCAAAUUCAGAGGCCAAACUGAAAGAAGAUAUAUCCUGCAAUGUCUUCACUGUGUUAGAUUCUUUUGGAAUCAGUGAUGCUGUUGAUUAAAUUGGUGUUCCUUUGCAACAUUGAAGUAUUUAUUUACUUUUUUUUACUUCAGAUGAACUUCCAGUAUUUUUUAUUACAGAUAAGUCUCUUGUUUUAAAGCAGGUUGUGUAGGGACCACAGUAAUUUUUAUACAUUUAUGUGAGCCAGUGAGCCCAAACAUAAUUUUUUAACUUGCUUAGGCAGUUUACUUUUCAUUGAGGAGUUGUCUUUCUCUUGAAAAUAGAAUUAAAAUGUUGUUAUCCUAGCAACAGGUUCCAGUACUUAUUUCGCUCAAGUUAUAUUUUCUAUGUUGCUACAGUCCUAGAGCUUAUUGCUGUUUUAUCUGCUGGGUUUUAUCCACAAAUGUUUCUCAGAGGAGAAAGGCAGCUUUCCACUUAGUGCAUAUCAAGACUUUAAAUAUUUACUUCUGUCAUGAAACUAUAUAGUUAAAAGUUGACAAACAUAUUUAACAAAAGUAAACUUUCCUAUUAUAGCCUAAGUGCUUUAAUUAAAAAAUUAUACAUAUGUGUUAAAACACAAAUAUAUACUGUGAUUUACCUUUGUGGUCAAGUAAAGUUUAAGCACAGAGUUUAGAUGAAAUAAUAAAUGUGUUACUUAAAUGGAAGAUAAUACAGAGAAUGGGAGGGAAACAUUCUGUACACAAAUACUUGAAGUCUGAAUGUCAUGUUUCCAACCCAUUCAGGAAAUUAAAACAGUUCAUUAAUUUUCAGAAAUCAAUGAAAUUUUAAAUUCUGCCCUUAAUAUGAGGCAAAGGGUAACCAAAUCAACAAGUGUGAUGCAAUCGGAUAUUAUUAUGCGUAAGGAAUACAAAGAUAAGCAGGAGAAGGUAAAUAUCUCAAACUGUAAAGUACUAGCUGCUAAAAAGCAUUUCUUAGCCUAGAAGACACCCAGACUAAGAAGAAUCCAUGCAUUGCUCCCACAAUUGUCUGAAGAGAAGCUCUGCAGUGAAGCCCCAAUGUGACAGCGUAGAGCUGUAAGACAGUGAAUGUCUUAUACAAUGAGUCUGUACCACAUGUACAGAACAUUACAUGCUUCAGCUUGCUCAGAACUGCUUUACUGAGUAAAGUUGUUACCUAAAUAAAUAAAAUAAAUAAAUAAAUCAUGGAGUAAAAGGCAAUAGGCCUGUGCUACAGACUCCAUCAUUGGAGGAUGGACCUAAUACUAGUUACGGAGAGGUGCCUUGCAAACAUGCCUCCUGGAUGUAAUUGGUUUAGAAAGAGCCGUACAUUUAAUCAGGUAUUAAAUUUUCUAGCCAGGUAGGUUUUUUCCCAUGAAUAUUGUAUUUGAUUGUAUUUAUUUUUCUGUAAUCUGAAAUCAGCGCUGCCUAUUAAAAGACUAGUUUUGUUCUGAUAUUUAAGAAAGCGUAUUACUUAUGUAACAUCCAGCAAAUAAAGGCACACAUUGCAGACUAUCUCUUCCAGGAUUAUUUUGUUCCAGAGACAAUUUUCUCCUUUUUCUAGCUCUCAAACCUUCUAAAACACUAUCUGUUAUCAGACUUUUACAGACCAAAAAGUAAUGUUUCCAAAUUCUAUGUGCUGAACACUUCCAUACUGUGCAGAGAUUUUUCUCAAUUACUCAUGCAUGACAUGAAUAAAAAAACCUCAUAGUUUUAAUUACAGUGGUGUAAUGACUUGAAUUAACUUUAGGGUUCAUCUGUUUGGUUUUGUCUUUAUUUUGUUUGCAUCCAACCACGUCUGAUCUGAGAUUUAAAAUCAAAUCUAUGGUAUUGGGCUUUCCAUGCCUGAUCAGAUUUUUGUUGUUGUAGCAUGCAGAAUUUGAAUAAAUUAGUGGAGAUAAGUGCCAGGAUGCUGGGAAAAGAUGCCAUAUAAAUGCUGAAAUGAUAAUUAAAUGCCUUUUCCCCCAACAUUUUUCAAUUUAAGAGAGUCUAAAAUGCCUUCAUAUUUGAUUCCUUUUUCCCUAUCUGUAGAUUUUGCAGCAAAAUUAUCUCCAGACCAUUCAGCCUAUAUGGAAAAUGCCAUCUCUUUCUCUCUCUCCUGGUAAAUCUUUCUAAUAGCACCACAGAUGUUUUAGUCACCUGCAAUUUUGGGCUAUUUUGUCAUUUCAGAAAAGCAGCACAUGAAAUGCAACUUUCUUUGAUGUGCUGAUAGAACGCUGCUCCCCCUUCAAAUGGGUAUAGCAGUGUUCUUAAUUACCAUUUUUCCUUCCUUCUUUCUAACUUCCAGCAGAAGAAUAAAAUAGUGAUCCAACCUCAUUGACAAGGAUUUUUAUGCUCUGUAAGGCUUAAUUUGGAGGAAUAAAUUAACUCUUCAACCAUAUUGGUAAGGGGAUGUCUACAUUAAACUUACACUAAAUGUUUGUGCAAAUGCACAGUCAGAAGGACGUUCUGUUUUAGGGCCAUCCUGUCACCAACAGGGCCAGACUUUGUCUCCUGCUUUGUAUGAGCAUGUGGACACACUGUGCCUGGAGAAUUCAUUCAGUUGGCUGAGAAUGAACUGAGACAAAAAAUGAAAAUUUUUUUUUCCUGCAGAUCAGUACGGUGAUCUGACUUGCUGCACGGCUACACAGCCACCAUUACUGAUGCUAAAUAGGGGUGGGCAGAACAGAAUAUCCAGCUAGGCUAAACUGGAGAGAGGGAUAUAAACUUGUUAGAGAUUCUGUCCCAGCUGGCCAGGAAGCUGCAGCUAGUACAUAUGUAUUAGGUAAUUUUAGUCUUAUUGGAUACUACUAUCUGGGUAGCCAAAGUGACCUACAUAGUAAGACAUGCUGGCCUUCUGAGUAUUUAUUGAGGGGAAUCAUUGUACAAGACUUUCAGAAAUUUGGCUUGCUUUAUCUUUGUUGUACCAGUUGACCUUAAGGGCACUGAUGAUAUUUUUGUGCUAACGUGCAAUAGGUCGGGAUUGAAAGCUGGUUUCUGUAAGUGCCUGAAGUACUGCACAUGACAUUUCUAAGUGGGCUACCAGACUAAACAUCAGGAAGGGAGCGGGAUUUUAGACCAAAUUGCUCAGAGCAAGGCUUCAGAUGGCAAUCUAGCUCACUCUGGGAAAAAGUAAGAGUGAGUAUUCAGACCAAAUUGUCUCCCUCAGAAUCCUUUUCCAGCAAGAGCAACUGGAAACCACUUGUGGAAGAUUAAGGAGAGAGCAAGCAUGUUUGAUGCUUCUUCUGAGUAGUCUUCAGCCUCUGACCAUUUCCAGGUUUAUGGGAAGCCUAGUUAGUUACCCCAAAUAGUUAUUCAAUGUCCCUUUAGAACCCAUAAACCCUUUUUGCACUUAGAGUGCUCUCUAUGCUUUUCUGCACCAUAGAUCCCUUCCCUUUCCAUCUGACCCUCAGUUGUUUUGCAUGAGGUUCCCUGGAAGUCAUACUGAAGCAGACUGAUUUUUGUCGCAUAAUACCUUUGAUUGUUUAUACACUUGCAUUAUUUUGUCCCUAAUUUAUCGCUUUUCCAGAAAGAAGAGUGUUAGCCUGACACAGCACUAUCAAAGCUAGCUGUCUGCAACAAGGCUUUUACCAUCCCAUGCCAUGUUAACUUCAAUACGUAGUUCCCAUGCCUUGCCCUGGCAUGGCCACCAAUCUCCCACAAGGUUUCAAAGGUUCAUUUACUGUCUGUACUGUUUCCUCAUCCUCUUCAGGCCAGAAUACCCUGCCUCUCUGCCAUCCAGGGUGCUCUCUGUCCUCCCUCUACUUCUUGCAAGUCUCCCUUCAGCUGGUGUUCCUCUUCCAUGCCCCUCAGAGCUAUUUAACCACUCAGCAGGAACCAGCCGCAGCUGCACCUUAUCCACAUCAGCCAACCUGCCGCCCCUGAAGCCAGCCCACAGCUGAAUAUUACCAAUGUUAAUUAGCCUGCCUUCAUUCCUCUAUAAUUCCUUUACACUAGCCCAGCUAGGCAGAUCUCAUAUAUAGCCAAUGUCUACAUAUUGUUACUGCCUCCUGAACCUUUUCUUGUUUCAAUAUAUUCUUUUUCAAUAUAUCCCAAGUUUAGAAGAAACAUUAAUUUUUACUGUGUUAUUACAGUGUUGUCUGUUCUGUUGUCUGUUCCUUUCCUAACAUUCCUGAUCCGCGGCUUGCUUUUUGACUUCUACUGAACACUGAGCUGGUGAUUUCCUGGAACUAGAUGUCCUAUCCCCAAGAUUUUACUCCUUAAUGGUAAAGAAAGAAUUAAUGGAGUGUGAGGUGUGUGGAGCUACUGCAAAACUAUUCAGAAAUGUUGUUUAAUAAGCAGCAUAAUUCACUGCAGACUUCCUGUUUCCAUGUCUACUUCCUAUACCACAAUUCCUGUUGUACAUGCAACGUGGCGAAGAUGGAGACUUUAAACAUGGCCGCUGAGGAAUAGAGUCUGUGCAGGGACAGCCCCUCAAGGACAUUGCACAGGAAAAGGAACUUCAAAAGGAAGUGCCUCCACAAGACAGAUGAGCUGACUGGAAGCUCACCAGAAGAGAUGAGCUCAGCAAAUCUAAGGGACACGUAAUUCCAGCAGAGGCAGGUCACAACCACUGACUCAUUGACUGACCACGAGCUCAAGAAAUUCCCCAGACCCAAAAAGAAGCGGAGACUGAGUAUGCAGACUUAUUAAUAUAAGAAGUGAGAGGAUUGCUUAACAAAUAGGAAACAGAGUACUAAGUAAUUAAACAGUUAUAUAACUUGUAACCAAUGAAGGCUGAUGUCCUUGCUUGCUGAACAGUGCAAAUAGUGUAACGUUUUGACAAUCAGGAAGCUAGGCAUUUGUGGGUUACACAUAGGUCCAUACUUUGCACAAACUAGAAUAAAGAAAUAGAAAUACCUCGACUCCAUGUAUGAACUGGAGCUGCACACUGGGUAACAAACACGCCUACAGGACCGCAUUUAGCUUUUUAUACACUAUGGCUGGCUCAGUCACUUUCUGCACAGGCAUACUUCACGGAAUUUUUGAUUCAGCACUUAAUAUGUUGUUAAAACCAGUUGAAUCAGAACCCAGAAUUUUACUCUCAUUUGGGAAUGUCAUGCAUCCAGGGCUGUAGAACAGUAUCCUAACAGGAAUUUUCACUUCAUAGAGACUUCUAAAAUGCACUCUUUCAGCAGUGGACGAAUAACAGCUUCAUAACUUUUGCACGUAUUUUGUUUUGCUAAACUUAUACCAUAAUGCUUUUAUUGUUCAGUACAUUGGUUGCUUUUGGUUUGCCCAUGUGACUGGUUCAGUAACUUUUUUUCUUUUUAUACUUGCUGGUUAAUGCAUUUUAAAAAAAUAUAGAUAAUCAACUGACUGUGUAGUGGAAGUACACAACAAAGAAGAAAAGACUCCUCAAACUUAAAACUGUAAUCACUAAAUUUACUGUAACCCCUCAAAACAGUUCAGAAUUUCCAUUUUCUACUCAACAGUGAUUUCCUGAAUGACUUUUUACCUUUAAUUUAUACUAGAUACCGAUAAGAUAUUAGACACCAAUCUGCAGCUGACUGUCGCUUUGGGUGGAUUUCUUUGCCUCAGAGUUUUCCACCAAAAUUCUGCCUCUGCAUAAGCUGUCACAAGGAAACAGCUGAAAUACUGUGGUCUAAAAGCUUAAAGCUACUAGACAAAACUGAAUCCUGUCAAAUCACUUUUAUGAUUAAGAAUGAUACAAGACAUUUGGAAAUUCUAUGCAAGUAAGAAGCACUAAACAGGGAAAAUCAUCAAGGAUAGAAAACCAAUUAUUCAUGCAUGAAUGCAACUAGGUUUUCAAAGUCUUUAAUAGUGAAAAUGUAUUUAUUGACUUCUUAAAAGAACACAUAUAUGCUUCCACUCACACGUUGCCUUUUGUUUACAUUCUAACAUUUCAGCUAUAAAGACUGUGCUAGAAAUACCUGAUGUAUUUGAAAACAGAAGAAAAAUAAACGAAUAGCUCAGUCUUUUGUUCCUAUUCUGUAUAACAAGGAGACAAAAUGGCUCACCAGCCUCAAAACUACCAUGUAGAAAAGGCUAAAAACAAUUUACAGGUGAAGUGUGCUGUUCUGGGGCAGCACAGAAUAUAGGUCACAGUCUUUUAAAGUUAAAGCUUUAUUUUUGGGAAGACUGUCCUAGAAAUUGAAGGUCUUCACCAUUUAAACUUGGAAAGCUUAUCUAAUGAUGAGUUCAAGAGCACUAGUGAAGUUUGAGUUUGCUUUGUGAUACACCCAAUUCUCAGGAAAUUUCGGAAUUCUAUCUGGUUGGCUUUAUCCAACAUUUUAGUUGUUUGAAAAGAUGCCUUCCUUCAAUGUCCCUCUGUUUAGGAGAGCAAUCUGAUUUGCAUCAUGGAAGAGACAGUGCUCUGCAUUGCACCCACUUCAUUUUGUUUCAUGAAUUUGAAAUCAUGUAGUGUAAAUGCCUGCAUAGGGAGAGAUUUAUUUCACAAUGGAGAUAAGCUCUGAAGUACUCUUUCCUUUCAUUGUAUAGACCAUGGGAUUCACAUGUGUCAUAGGGAGCAAGAUAUUUACACCCCAUCUCUCAAAAUGGACAGUAAUGGUGUUCUUCAUUUGCUGGGGUACCCAUGAUUUGUCUUGGGUAAGUGUUGAGUGUUCAGCUGCUGCUGAGGUCGAUAACAGAUAUACUUUGAUCAGAAAGCCAUGAAGUGACUUGAUGUUCAGUACUCUGACAUAGAAGCUCCUAAGCAUCUUAAGUCUGGGACUCCAUGUUAAACACUUUGAACUGCAUUUUUUCUUAGCCUUGGCUUAUCAUCAUAAAAUUGAGACAGUAAAACUGUUUUUAACUCUAACAGGUAUUGAAACUUCAUUUGGAUUACAUUUGGAUGUAGGAGAAUUAACUCUGUGUUUUUUCUUGAGGGUCUGUCUUUCUUUUGAACUCCUAUCAAAGCAUGGGCUGGACCACAGCUGGUGAAAUAACUCAUAAUGGAUAGACACAUAAAUGGAAAUUGUUAAGAGAAAUAUCAGGCUGGCAAUGACAAUCCAAGAGAGUUGAGGCUGCCUCAUCUCUGUGCCCACUGGUCCAACCAGUAGCAAGACUGAAAAUCUAUUGCCAGUAUGCACAUGCAUACACAAAGCAGAUAUAUACAGUUGUAUUGGGUUUAUUUGGCAAGGUUUUGGUAGCAGGGAGCGUACUGGGGUGGUUUCUGUGAGCAGAUGCCAGAAACCUCUCCCAUGUCUGAUAGAGCCAGUUCCAGCAAGCUCCAAGAUGGAUCUGCUGCUGGCCAAAGCUGAGCUAAUCAGAAAUUGUUGUAACACCUCGGUGAUAACAUAUUUAAGAAGGUGAAAAAACUGCUGUGCAACAACAGCUGGGAGAGGUGUGAGAGUAUGUGAGAGAAACAACCCUGCAGACACCAAGGUCAGUGAACAAGGUUGGGGAGGAGGUGCUCCAGGCACCAGAGCAGAGAUUCUCUCUGGUGGAGACCAUGGUUAUGUAAGGUGUCCCCCUGCAUCUCAUGGAGGUCCAUGGUGGAGCAAAUAGCCAUCCUGCAGCCUGUGGAGAACCCCAUGCUUGAGCAGGCAGAUCUGCUUCAAAGGAGACUGACCCUGUGCAGAGCCUGUGCUGUAACAGGUCUUCUGGCAGGAUGUGUGACCCUGCAGGUGACCCGUGUUGAAGCAGUCCAUUCCUGGAGGACUGCACCCUGUGGAAAGGACCCAUGCUGGAGCAAUUCAUGGAUUGUCUCCCAUGGGUGGGACCCCACACUGGAUCCCAGCAAAGGCAUGAGGAAAGAGGAUUGGCAAAGACAAUGUGUAAUGGAACUGACCACAGCCCCCACCCCCUGUACAUCUACACCACUUGGAGGAAGGAGGUGGAGAAGUCCAGGAUGAAGUGGAGCAUGGGAAGAAGGGAGGGAUGGGGAGAAGAUGUUUUAAGAGUUGCUCUCAUUUUUCACAUUAAUAUUUACUUUUGUUAUUCUCACACUCUGACCCCUGCUCCCACACCAGUGACCAUGUUAUCAUAUUUUGUAGUCAAUACUAUAUGGACAUACAGUUUUGUUUAACAAUCUGCACAUGUUUGUGAAGAAACAGAACGCACACAUUAUUUCGACUCAGGAUGUCCCAUGCAAAGAACUAUCAAGGGUGAUUAGUUGAAGUAAUUGCUGCUUAUGACAAGAUGACUUUGAAGAACAAUUACAUCCUGGAAAAUUGGCAACACAAGCAAGAUACAUCUGAUACUUGUUGACAGAUAGCCAAAGAUGUGUCCUUAACUGAACUACUUUCAUUAUAAUACCAAAAAUCAUACCCCCUACAUCAGGUACCCUGGCCCACAAAGAAACCCUUCCUCAAUGAGCAGGUGUAGUAAGAUUUCAUUAUGUAAAGAAUCAUCAUGUAGAUUUCCAUCCAAUCAGUGCUAGAGGGUUGGAAGUUAAAAAAAUAAUAUUCAUGAAAUCAUGUAUAAAUGUGAUUGUGAAAAUGUCCAAGCUGUGCUAGUCCACCCAGCCUUGUGCAACUUUUCAUUAAAGGCAGUAUAUAUCUUAA